rnacentral:lncRNA from 1 species
UGAGGUGUUACUUGAACCUCACAUGUGAGAAAUGAAGGAGCGAGUCAUAAAGGGCUAAAGGCAGGUGUCUCAGACUGAGGAUUUUGGGAUAAAUGAGUAUGUCUUGUUUCAAAAAUUGUAAGACUGAUUUCAGGCUAGUAAGGCUAGACCAAAAUGAGCAAAGAGAAAAGUUGCAUGAUUUCAGAUUAGAGAAAGAUGCAGUUACUGAUUCACAACUGAUCUUGAUGGGACUUUGGACUAUUUCAAUCUGAAAGAAAGACAAUCUGAUUUUUUUCCCUUAAUAUACUACUCUUACUCUAGUGUGAAGAAUACCCUGAGUGGGCAAGAAUAAUACCAAGGACAUUAAUUAGAAACUAAGUUUAUUAGUCUAAGUGGUGGUUGAUGUGGCCUUGGAUGAGAUUGGUAAUGGUGGACAUAAGAGAUCGGAAUAAGAAAUAUUUUCACAGCGGAAAUAACCUGACUUGUUGAUGACUUAGACAGAGAAUGCUCAACAAUUCAGGAAAGAGCAUAUGAAUGAAGACAGUUUAACAUAAUAAAGGAAUUUCAUAAAAAGAUGUGGGCAGACUUAAACAGCAAGUAAUGAUAAAAUGCCCAGACCUGUCAGUAUCAGGAAGUCACCAUCAUAUUUGUAGGGAAAAGAAAGAGAGAUCAGACUGUCACUGUGUCUAUGUAGAAAGGGAAGACAUAAGAGACUCCAUUUUGAAAAAGACCUGUACUUUAAACUAUUGCUUUGCUGAGAUGUUGUUAAUUUGUAGCUUUGCCCCAGCCACUUUGACCCAACCUGGAGCUCACAAAAACAUGUGUUGUAUAAAAUCAAGGUUUAAGGGAUCUAGGGCUGUGCAGGACGUGCCUUGUUAACAAAAUGUUUACAAGCAGUAUACUUGGUAAAAGUCAUGGCCAUUCUCUAGUCUCAAUAAACCAGCGGCACGAUGCACUGUGGAGAGCCGCAGGGACCUCUGCCCUUGAAAGCGGGGUAUUGUCCAAGGUUUCUCCCCAUGUGAUAGUCUGAAAUAUGGCCUCGUGGGAUGAGAAAGACCUGACUGUCCCCCAGUCUGACACCCGUAAAGGGUCUGUGCUGAGGUGGAUUAGUAAAAGAGGAAAGCCUCUUGCAGUUGAGAUGGAGGAAGGCCAUUGUCUCCUGCUUGCCCCUGGGAACUGAAUGUCUCGGAGUAAAACCCGAUUGUACAUUUGUUCAACUCUGAGAUAGGAGAAAAGCUGCCCUGUGGCGGGAGGCGAGACAUGUUUGCAGUAAUGCUGCCUUGUUAUUCUUUACUCCACUGAGAUGUUUGGGUGGAGAGAAACAUAAAUCUGGCCUACGUGCACAUCCAGGCAUGGUACCUUCCCUUGAACUUAAUUAUGAUAUAGAUUCUUUUGCUCAUAUGUUUUUUGUUGACCUACUUAUUAUCACCCUGCUCUCCUACUACAUUCCUUUUUGCUGAAAUAAUGAGAAUAAUAAUCAAUAAAAACUGAGGGAACUCAGAGGCCGGUGCUGGUGCAGGUCCUUGGUGUGCUGAGUGCCGGUCCCCUGGACCCACUGUUGUUUCUCUAUACUUUGUCUCUGUGUCUUAUUUCUUUUCUCAGUCUUUCACCCCACCCAACUAGAAAUACUCACAGGUGUGGAGGGGCAGGCCACCCCUUCAAUAUUUAAGAUUAAAAAGGAUGUAUACACUUCUUCCCACACUGAGUAAUUGGAUAAUCACUCUGUGAUUUUCCACGACAUGCAUUGAUAAAUUUGCAUGCGUUUUCUCCUAAACAAAAAAAAAAAGAAAAGAAAAAUGAUUGACAAGUCAAGAGGAAGGAGUGGUUAGCAGAACAAAUGAAAUUUACGGUUGUACAUAUAAGAGGUCUUAACAAAAGAAGCAGAUUAUGACCUUUGGCAGAGGAAUUUAUCUCGAUGGCACAGCAGAGAUGGUAAUUAAUAAACUAGCUUUUUUUUUAGGCCUCCUUCAGAUUAUGUGAUGGAUCACUGGACCACUUUAUUGGCCAAAUCCAAGAGGAAUCCAGAGAAUAAUUAUUGCAAUUUGUAGUGGCAGGGCCACUGUUAGGUCAUGUAAGGUGCCGGGAAAAUAUAAUUCCUGGGUUACCUGUUAUAAUAAAUAAUUUGUUUAUAAGAUAUGUUUAUUCAUGGGUCAGGUGAGUUAUAGUAAUUUUUCAAUGAAGAUUUAACUCAUAGAACACAUACAUAUUUUGAUUACUAAAUCUGCACAUGUGAAGAUUCUUCAUGUUGUCCAGGUACCAUUUUUUCUAGUUGAUGUCCUGAAAAUAUCUUUUUGUAUUCUUAAUUUUCAAAUGUAUUAUUUCUUGCUAAUUUUAUAUAUCCUCCCACAAGAAAAACUUAACAAUGCUGUUAUUACCCAGAGUGACAUGACUAUUUAGAAGCUGUUUUCCAUUUAAAAUGUGUAGAUCCUGACGUUUAAGUAACUUAAUACCAUUUAUUAAUGUGGCUUAUAUCAUUACUUCUGAAGCUAUAUCAUCCACCUUACUUCCUAGGAAUACUUCCUGCCAGUGUUUUUCACAAAUGUUAUUAUUGUGUUUUGUUGAAAACAAUAACAAACAUGAGUUUACCUGGAUUGUGCAACAAAAUGUGAAAAAUAAUUUAUUUUCUGAUCAUGCUAAAUCCACGAUUUGGCAUUUUAUAUCAUAAACAUAGAACAAAACAACAUCCAAUUAUGUUUCCUUUUGAAACCUUCAGAACUACUACAUUUUCAGAAUGCCAUCUUUAUUCAGUAUUAAUUACACCCCUAAAAUCAACGGGAUAGAAAAGUGAGUGCCAAUGUAUGCAACAGGAACAAAAGUCUCAUUUGCACAGGAAAUGUCCAUCUCUUCCCUAGCAUGGCUUAAAACCAUGGAUGUGGCCGGGCGCGGUGGCUCACGCCUGUAAUCCCAGCACUUUGGGAGGCCGAGGCGGGCGGAUCACGAGGUCAGGAGAUCG